rnacentral:lncRNA from 1 species
CCAGUUUUAUUUGAAUGGGCACAUCUUGAAAUCUUUGGCUGCAGCUCAGCUUUUACAGAGUUUUCAGAUCUAGGAGGCCAGGAAAAAGAUCUUCUAUUACAGGUCUUUAAUUUGGGAGUAAGAAACAAAUGUCUUCUGGAAAUAUUCAACAAGAAAAAUUUUGACCCCCAGUAUAUCCAUCCUCUGCAGCUACAGGGAAGUUACUGUCACCUCAACCUCACUCGUAUUUUCACAGCAUCAGCCCAGGCCCUUUCAAAACUCUGUUACUGGCUGCAGAAGUGCAGGACUUCAUCUUUAAGCUCACUCUUAAAAGAGUGUGCUGUGUUAUAGCCAAGGUUUGAAAAGCUGCAGAGGAUCUGGAUACGGAGGAGUCAGGACAGGAAUAUCAAGGUUUUACCACCCUGAAGCACCUAUUUUUUGUUAUGAUUUGAUGUGACAUCUACUUCAAACUUCAGGGAAAAAAUACAGGUUUCUACUGCAGGCAAGUUAAUAGUCAUGUGAGGAAACAUUUUAUAAGAAAGGAAAGGCAUGGCUCCUCUCAGAUGCAGCACUUCCAACUCUCAAUUGCCUUCAAAACCAGCAGCACUUUUUUGUAAUUAUAGAAUCACACACAUUUUAAGGGACAUUUAAAGCCCAGUUUAAAGGACUUUUAAAGACUUUUCAAAGUAGAUAAAAUUAGAUUGAGUUGCUCAGUCUAAAAACUCAACAAAACUCUUGUUUAGUUUUGAAUGUCUCCAAGGAUGAAUAUUUCAGAGCCUCUCUUGACAACCUGUUUCCGUGUCAGACCACCUCACAGUUAAAUAGGAUUUCCUGUUUCUAAUCAGAAUUCCCUUGUACCUACAUCCAUUGCUUCUUCUCUUACCACUGUGUCCCUUUGAAAAG